ACAUGCAAGUCGAACGGCAGCAUGAUCUAGCUUGCUAGAUUGAUGGCGAGUGGCGAACGGGUGAGUAAUACAUCGGAACGUGCCCUGUAGCGGGGGAUAACUAGUCGAAAGAUUAGCUAAUACCGCAUACGACCUGAGGGUGAAAGUGGGGGACCGCAAGGCCUCAUGCUAUAGGAGCGGCCGAUGUCUGAUUAGCUAGUUGGUGAGGUAAAGGCUCACCAAGGCGACGAUCAGUAGCUGGUCUGAGAGGACGAUCGGCCACACUGGGACUGAGACACGGCCCAGACUCCUACGGGAGGCAGCAGUGGGGAAUUUUGGACAAUGGGGGCAACCCUGAUCCAGCAAUGCCGCGUGUGUGAAGAAGGCCUUCGGGUUGUAAAGCACUUUUGUCCGGAAAGAAAUCGCACUUACUAAUAUUAGGUGUGGAUGACGGUACCGGAAGAAUAAGGACCGGCUAACUACGUGCCAGCAGCCGCGGUAAUACGUAGGGUCCAAGCGUUAAUCGGAAUUACUGGGCGUAAAGCGUGCGCAGGCGGUUGUGCAAGACCGAUGUGAAAUCCCCGGGCUUAACCUGGGAAUUGCAUUGGUGACUGCACGGCUAGAGUGUGUCAGAGGGGGGUAGAAUUCCACGUGUAGCAGUGAAAUGCGUAGAGAUGUGGAGGAAUACCGAUGGCGAAAGCAGCCCCCUGGGAUAACACUGACGCUCAUGCACGAAAGCGUGGGGAGCAAACAGGAUUAGAUNNCCUUGGUAGUCCACGCCUUAGGCGAUUUCAACUAGUUGUGGGGAUUCAUUUCAUUAGUAAACGUAGCUAACGCGUGAAGUUGACCGCCUGGGGAGUACGGUCGCAAGAUUAAAACUCAAAAGGAAUUGACGGGGACCCGCACAAGCGGUGGAUGAUGUGGAUUAAUUCGAUGCAACGCGAAAAACCUUACCUACCCUUGACAUGCCACUAACGAAGCAGAGAUGCAUUAGGUGCUCGAAAGAGAAAGUGGACACAGGUGCUGCAUGGCUGUCGUCAGCUCGUGUCGUGAGAUGUUGGGUUAAGUCCCGCAACGAGCGCAACCCUUGUCUCUAGUUGCUACGAAAGGGCACUCUAGAGAGACUGCCGGUGACAAACCGGAGGAAGGUGGGGAUGACGUCAAGUCCUCAUGGCCCUUAUGGGUAGGGCUUCACACGUCAUACAAUGGUGCAUACAGAGGGUUGCCAAGCCGCGAGGUGGAGCUAAUCCCAGAAAAUGCAUCGUAGUCCGGAUCGUAGUCUGCAACUCGACUACGUGAAGCUGGAAUCGCUAGUAAUCGCGGAUCAGCAUGCCGCGGUGAAUACGUUCCCGGGUCCUGUACACACCGCCCGUCACACCAUGGGAGUGGGUUUUGCCAGAAGUAGUUAGCCUAACCGCAAGGGGGGCGAUUACCACGGCAGGGUUCAUGACUGGGGUG
rnacentral:rRNA from 1 species